rnacentral:rRNA from 1 species
UAUACAUGCAAGUCGAACGAACUUCCGUUAAUUGAUCAUGGACGUGCUUGCACUGAAUGAGAUUUUAACACGAAGUGAGUGGCGGACGGGUGAGUAACACGUGGGUAACCUGCCCAGAAGCAGGGGAUAACACCUGGAAACAGAUGCUAAUACCGUAUAACAGAGAAAACCGCCUGGUUUUCUUUUAAAAGAUGGCUCUGCUAUCACUUCUGGAUGGACCCGCGGCGCAUUAGCUAGUUGGUGAGGUAACGGCUCACCAAGGCGAUGAUGCGUAGCCGACCUGAGAGGGUAAUCGGCCACAUUGGGACUGAGACACGGCCCAGACUCCUACGGGAGGCAGCAGUAGGGAAUCUUCCACAAUGGACGCAAGUCUGAUGGAGCAACGCCGCGUGAGUGAAGAAGGGUUUCGGCUCGUAAAGCUCUGUUGUUAAAGAAGAACGUGGGUGAGAGUAACUGUUCACCCAGUGACGGUAUUUAACCAGAAAGCCACGGCUAACUACGUGCCAGCAGCCGCGGUAAUACGUAGGUGGCAAGCGUUAUCCGGAUUUAUUGGGCGUAAAGCGAGCGCAGGCGGUCUUUUAAGUCUAAUGUGAAAGCCUUCGGCUCAACCGAAGAAGUGCAUUGGAAACUGGGAGACUUGAGUGCAGAAGAGGACAGUGGAACUCCAUGUGUAGCGGUGAAAUGCGUAGAUAUAUGGAAGAACACCAGUGGCGAAGGCGGCUGUCUGGUCUGUAACUGACGCUGAGGCUCGAAAGCAUGGGUAGCGAACAGGAUUAGAUACCCUGGUAGUCCAUGCCGUAAACGAUGAUUACUAAGUGUUGGAGGGUUUCCGCCCUUCAGUGCUGCAGCUAACGCAUUAAGUAAUCCGCCUGGGGAGUACGACCGCAAGGUUGAAACUCAAAAGAAUUGACGGGGG